rnacentral:rRNA from 1 species
AGAGUUUGAUUCUGGCUCAGGGUUAACGCUGGCGGUGCGCAUAACACAUGCAAGUCGAGCGAGGGCUUAUUUCCCGCAAGGGAGAUGAGUUCCUAGCGGCGAACGGGUGAGUAACACGUGGGCAACCUUUCCUAUCGCGGGGGAUAACAGCGGGAAACCGCUGCUAAUACCGCAUGUCGUCACCGGUCGAAUGGCCGAUGAAGAAAGCAGCAAUGCACGAUGGGGUGGGCCCGCGGCCUAUCAGCUAGUCGGUGGGGUAACGGCCUACCGAGGCGAUGACGGGUAGCUGGUCUGAGAGGACGACCAGCCACACGGGGACUGAGAGACGGCCCAGACUCCUACGGGAGGCAGCAGUGGGGAAUCUUGCGCAAUGGCCGAAAGGCUGACGCAGCGACGCCGCGUGUGGGAUGAAGCAUUUCGGUGUGUAAACCACUGUUGCCCGGGACGAACAGCUUCUUUCGAGGAGCCUGACGGUACCGGGUGAGGAAGCACCGGCUAACUCCGUGCCAGCAGCCGCGGUAAUACGGAGGGUGCGAGCGUUGUCCGGAAUCACUGGGCGUAAAGGGCGCGUAGGUGGCGCGGGCAGUCAACGGUGAAAGUUCGGGGCUCAACCCUGAAUCGGCCGUCGAUACUCCCGUGCUUGAGCACUGUAGAGGCAGAUGGAAUUCCGGGUGUAGCGGUGGAAUGCGUAGAGAUCCGGAAGAACACCGGUGGCGAAGGCGGUCUGCUGGGCAGUAGCUGACACUGAGGCGCGACAGCGUGGGGAGCAAACAGGAUUAGAUACCCUGGUAG